rnacentral:rRNA from 1 species
AUUGAACGCUGGCGGCAUGCUUUACACAUGCAAGUCGAACGGUAACAGGGUGCUUGCACCGCUGACGAGUGGCGAACGGGUGAGUAAUGCGUCGGAACGUGCCGAGUAGUGGGGGAUAACGCAGCGAAAGUUGUGCUAAUAACGCAUACGUACUGAGGUAGAAAGUGGGGGACCUUCGGGCCUCACGCUAUUCGAGCGGCCGACGUCUGAUUAGCUAGUAGGUGAGGUAAAGGCUCACCUAGGCGACGAUCAGUAGCGGGUCUGAGAGGAUGAUACGCCACACUGGGACUGAGACACGGCCCAGACUCCUACGGGAGGCAGCAGUGGGGAAUUGUGGGCAAUGGGCGAAAGCCUGAUCCAGCCAUGCCGCGUGUCUGAAGAAGGCCUUCGGGUUGUAAAGGACUGUUGUCAGGGAGGAAAUCCCUAGUGCUAAUAACACUGGGGGAUGACAGUACCUGAAGAAUAAGCACCGGCUAACUACGUGCCAGCCGCCGCGGUAA